UUGGUGAUGGGGGAUUUUUCCGACGGGUGAGUACACGUGNGUACCUGCCCUUGACUCUGGGAUAAGCCUGGGAAACUGGGUCUAAUACCGGAUACGACCAUCUGGCGCAUGUCAUGGUGGUGGAAAGCUUUUGUGGUUUUGGAUGGACUCGCGGCCUAUCAGCUUGUUGGUGGGGUAAUGGCCUACCAAGGCGACGACGGGUAGCCGGCCUGAGAGGGUGACCGGCCACACUGGGACUGAGACACGGCCCAGACUCCUACGGGAGGCAGCAGUGGGGAAUAUUGCACAAUGGGCGCAAGCCUGAUGCAGCGACGCCGCGUGAGGGAUGACGGCCUUCGGGUUGUAAACCUCUUUCAGUAGGGAAGAAGCGAAAGUGACGGUACCUGCAGAAGAAGCGCCGGCUAACUACGUGCCAGCAGCCGCGGUAAUACGUAGGGCGCAAGCGUUAUCCGGAUUU
rnacentral:rRNA from 1 species